rnacentral:rRNA from 1 species
CCUACGGGAGGCAGCAGUGAGGAAUAUUGGUCAAUGGACGAGAGUCUGAACCAGCCAAGUAGCGUGAAGGAUGACUGCCCUAUGGGUUGUAAACUUCUUUUAUAUGGGAAUAAAACAGGGUAUGUAUACCCUCUUGUAUGUACCAUAUGAAUAAGGAUCGGCUAACUCCGUGCCAGCAGCCGCGGUAAUACGGAGGAUCCGAGCGUUAUCCGGAUUUAUUGGGUUUAAAGGGAGCGUAGGUGGAUUGUUAAGUCAGUUGUGAAAGUUUGCGGCUCAACCGUAAAAUUGCAGUUGAAACUGGCAGGCUUGAGUACAGUAGAGGUGGGCGGAAUUCGUGGUGUAGCGGUGAAAUGCUUAGAGAUCACGAAGAACUCCGAUUGCGAAGGCAGCUCACUGGACUGCAACUGACACUGAUGCUCGAAAGUGUGGGUAUCAAACAGGAUUAGAUACCCUUGUAGUC